UACGUAGGGGGCAAGCGUUGUCCGGAUUCAUUGGGCGUAAAGAGCGUGUAGGCGCCAGGUAGGUCUGCUGUGAAAACUCGAGGCUCAACCUCGAGACGUCGGCGGAAACCAUCUGGCUAGAGUCCGGAAGAGGAGAGUGGAAUUCCUGGUGUAGCGGUGAAAUGCGCAGAUAUCAGGAAGAACACCCGUGGCGAAGGCGGCUCUCUGGGACGGUACUGACGCUGAGACGCGAAAGCGUGGGGAGCGAACAGG
rnacentral:rRNA from 1 species